CCUACGGGAGGCAGCAGUGGGGAAUAUUGGACAAUGGGGGAAACCCUGAUCCAGCGACGCCGCGUGAGUGAAGAAGUAUUUCGGUACGUAAAGCUCUAUCAGCAGGGAAGAAAAUGACGGUACCUGACUAAGAAGCCACGGCUAACUACGUGCCAGCAGCCGCGGUAACACGUAGGGGGCAAGCGUUAUCCGGAUUUACUGGGUGUAAGGGGAGCGUAGACGGCAGCGCAAGUCUGGAGUGAAAUGCCGGGGCCCAACCCCGGAACUGCUCUGGAAACUGUGAAGCUGGAGUGCAGGAGAGGUAGGCGGAAUUCCUGGUGUAGCGGUGAAAUGCGUAGAUAUCAGGCGGAACCCCGGCGGCGAAGGCGGCUUACUGGACUGUAACUGACGUUGAGGCUCGAAGGCGUGGGGAGCAAACAGGAUUAGAUACCCUUGUAGUC
rnacentral:rRNA from 1 species